GCCAGCGGGGAUAGCACGUUCAACGCACCAGUUCCCGAAGGAACACUGUUGCAACGUUCCACGUGGUUGGUAUUUGGAUGGGUGACCAUCUGGACAAUCGCGUACUGAUGCAC
rfam:Asian citrus Psyllid, Diaphorina citri - Florida Strain, whole genome shotgun sequence.